GCUUACGACCACACGGCCUGAGUACGCUGAUCUCGUCUGAUCUCGGAAGCUAAGCAGGUCGGGCCUGGUUAGUACUGGAUGGGAGACCGCCUGGGAAUACCAGGUGCUGUAAGCU
rnacentral:rRNA from 1 species